rnacentral:snRNA from 1 species
AUACUUACCUGUCAGGGCAGAUACCAGGAUCCUAGAGGUGAUUUCCUCAGGGCAAGUCUUAUCCAUUUCACUCCGGAUGUGCUAACCCUGUGAUUUCCCCAAGUAUGGGAAACUCCACUGCAUAAUUUGUGGUACUGGGGGACUGCAUUCAUGCUAUCCCCUG